rnacentral:lncRNA from 10 species
UUAAUUUGCAUUAGAUAUUCUGCUUCCUGUAUAGUUUCAGACUUUGAAUCAAAUAUAUACUUUAUAUAUAUAAGGUAGUUUGUGGUGUAUGUGGUGAGGGCUUCAAGUUGCUUCCACUCAUGGUAGAUGGGGAAGGAGAGCCAGCAUUUGCAAAGAUCACAUGUUGAGAUAGGAAGCAAGAGAGAUAGGGGAGAUGCCAGGCUCUUUGUAUUGAUCAGCUUUCGCAGGAACUAACCUGCCUCAAUGUAACAGCAAUAAGAUACUUACCAGAAUGUGGGCCAGCUGUGAGUAGCAUUUAGAUGGUCAUAAUACUGAUUCAAAAACCAUUUUUUAUGUGUAUGUGUGAAUGUUGGAUGUCAUAGCAUUGUAGGUCAACAGAGCUAAUACUCAGUUUAAGAAUAAGACAGUCAAUAGUUAAUACCUAAUAUUUUAAGAGGAAAAAAAGGAAGAACAACAAAUAAGUAAAUAAGUAACCAGAGCUGGUAUGCAAAAGGCUAAAGUCCACCACUGCACAAACAUGUAUCUCCAUUAAAAAUCCAGCUAUAAAUUAGUCCCAGAGCUUCUUGAGCAAAAAAGUGCUGAAUCCCCUUGAGAAAAGAAAUUUACAUUGGGGCAAGGGAACUACAGAUAUUAUGCAAGUCCAAUAAUGAAAUUAACUCACUCAUCUCCACAGAGUAUACCGUUAUAAGGCUUGGCUGAAGACAAUAUGAUGCAGGAAGAGAAAAUGAGUGUUGUAAAGUUUAGUGAUUUAGAGCAUCUUCAAGGGUUUAUCAGUCAUUUAUACAUCUUUGAGGAAAAAUAUCUGUUCAAGUGUCUUGUCUAUUUACCA